rnacentral:rRNA from 1 species
UGGCGGCGUGCCUAACACAUGCAAGUCGCACGAGAAAGUGGAGCAAUCCAUGAGUAAAGUGGCGCACGGGUGAGUAACACGUGAAUGAUCUACCUCCGAGUGGGGAAUAACCUAGAGAAAUCUGGGCUAAUACCGCAUAACACUUACGAGUCAAAGCAGCAAUGCGCUUGGAGAGGAGUUCGCGGCCGAUUAGUUAGUUGGCGAGGUAAUGGCCCACCAAGACGAUGAUCGGUAUCCGGCCUGAGAGGGCGCACGGACACACUGGAACUGAAACACGGUCCAGACUCCUACGGGAGGCAGCAGUGGGGAAUUUUGCGCAAUGGGGGAAACCCUGACGCAGCAACGCCGCGUGGAGGAUGAAAUCCCUUGGGAUGUAAACUCCUUUCGAUCGGGACGAUUAUGACGGUACCGGAAGAAGAAGCCCCGGCUAACUUCGUGCCAGCAGCCGCGGUAAUACGAGGGGGGCAAGCGUUGUUCGGAAUUAUUGGGCGUAAAGGGCGCGUAGGCGGUUUGACAAGUCUGAUGUGAAAUCUCUGGGCUCAACUCAGAGUCUGCAUUAGAAACUGUCGGGCUUGA